CAUCUUGUGUAUUUGCAUGGUUUUAAUCUUCAUCCUAGUCUUUAUAUUAGUCAUUUGCAUAUGUUUAGUGUGCAUUUAGGUUGCAUUGCAUCACUUUUGUCCUUUUCAGGUAUUGGAGACUUUCAUUGGUGAUUUUGGAGACAUUUGAAGUGUUUUGGGGACAAAAGAGUGAUGUUUGAAGCACAAAUCGUGUCCCAACUGAAGGGCCGUAGCGACAUCAGCAUAGCGACCUCGUCAAGUCGCUAAGACGCAACCCGAGCCAUCGUAACGACCACCGUAGCGACUUACCAAGUCGCUAUGGUAGGAGAAGCCAUAAUCCAAGAAAUGACUAAGUGUCUGUAGCGACUUCUGCGUAGCGACAUGAUCACGUCGCUAGGAGGCCACCCGAGAGAGCGUAGCGACCACCGUAGCGACUUGCAAGGUCGCUACAGAUCCUGAAGUGUUGAAGAGUUAAUAGCGACCAGAGCGUAGCGACUUGCAUGGUCGCUACGGGCGAAAAAGACUGCUUCUUUAUGGGUUAACCUAGGUUUGUUGGGUUGACCCAACUCGUUUUUUUAGACUCCUAUAAAUUCUCUUUAGACAUAAUUAUGUAUCUUAUCUCAUUUUCUCUCAAGACUUUGUUUCAUCUUGUAAAAGCUUGAACCUUUUAAUCAUUUUAAGGAAGUUCUUCAUCUUAAAUCUUGUUUUUCCUUCUCAUAAACAUGAUUAGCCUUGAAUCUCACAUAGAUUUAAGGUUUCUCAUGGAGAUUAGAGAGUAGACACACAUUGAAUUCAUGGGCUAGGGUGAUUAGGGUGAUUAAGUGAAGAUCUAGGGUGUUUAGUGUUAGAUCUAUUGUUUCCUUGCUUGUCUACUAUCCUUAAUGCUAGAUUAAAGUUGGCCUCUUUGAUCUAGAGCUCUAGACAUUUCCCACCCACAAGGUGUUUGAUGAAAUGUCUGAACUAAGUAGAGUUUGCUCUAAACUUGCCUUACACAAAGACCAUUGUGUUAAGGGAGUUUAGAUAGUUAAUAGACUCAUCCCUAAUGAUUGCUUAGAUCUUUUAGGCUCAAAGACCUUUGGUGUCUAGUUGAUUAAAGCAAAUGAACAUUCUUCUUGACCAUAGAGCUUGUUUAUUUGAGUGUUCUAGACUUAAGGAAGUGUUUGAUUGUUAGCUUGCCACUCUAGCUUGGAUCUUAGUCACCCAAAGUCAAGUUCCUAGUCUCAUGGAUUCUACCUUAGCAUUUGAUUGAAAGUUUAGUUCUUGCACUUAUUUCUUGAUAGGAUUUGAGAUCACCUUUGUUUAUAUUCUAGGAUCUUAGCUUGUUACCAUCAUCCAUCUUCAUAUUUGCUUAGAUUAAGAUAGUUUGUGUAUUCUUGGUGCUAUAGAUCACUAGUUCUCUGUGGUUCGACAACCUUUAUAUACUAUCAUUUGACUUGGGAGCAUUGAAAACUUCCAAUAUCAAAUUGGCGCCGUUGCCGGGGAACUAGUAGAUUUGUCAUUAGGAUUUCAAACUUUCUUGAGACUAAGCUUUAUUUUCUUGCUUUGUUUUGCUUUUGUAUAGUUACUAACCUUUAGUUCUAGUUUUUGUUCAUGCAGUUAUGGCUUCAAGCUACCAUGGGGAGCCACAAGAAGAGGAAGACACAUUUGAAUAUCACAUUCAAGAUGACUUUGAUGCAAGUAUACUCACACCAGCACAACUUGUGAUGUUAUAUGAGCUUCAGAAGGAGUACCCGGGGUCGGCAAAGACAUCCCUAGCACGAAGGAUCCGGUUGGAGCUUAUUAAGGAUCGAGCAGAGCUUGAAGGAAGGGAGGUUACCAAGUAUGAGUUUAAUGUUGCCUAUGACCUUAAAGAGGUAAUGGAUUGGGCUCCACCACUCCAGAUGGAAGGUUGGGUCUAUCUCUAGAUAAGAGAAGUCUUCAUUUCCACUUCAGCCUCUCUCCCUCUCUCCUGGUGAAACAAACAUGAGGCCAAGGGUCCUCUACCACCCAAUUCAGCCUAUAACUCCAAGUAAGUGUCACUCUACCCUUGUAAAUAAUUAGUUAUCAUGUUUAUUUCUUUCUCUUAGAUCUCUUCUUUGAGCUUACUCUCACACAAGGGACUGUGUGAAGUAAGUUUGGGGGAGAGUCUACUAUCUCACAUUGUUUUCUGUUUUGUUUACUUGUCAUGAGUCUCAUGCAUUGCAUUGUACAUACUUAUUUGCAUUGAAAAAAGAAAUUGAAAAAUUACAUGCAUUAGAUUCAAAUCAUGUUUCAUUUGCAUCUUUAGAAUUGAUUCUUGAAGCAUAUAGGUUGCAUUCAUGCAUUGGGAGCUAGCCUUGUAAAGAGCUCAUGCUAAGUACUCAAUUUGAUACCCUUUGUAAUCAUGACAAGUAGCUUGAACACUCUUUUGAAAACUUGUAGACUUCGAGCCUUGAAACUCCUCUUGAAACUCAUUGAUUGUUGAAACUUCUCAUCAUUGAAGCCAACUCCAAGCUUACUUGAACUGAAUGAACUUAAUGCUUCUUGCUUAUGGUCUUUUGUGUACUAAGUCGUGGCUAUACACACUUGAGUUGUCUCACCUAUUUUGCCAAUCUUUUUGACAAACUCAAGUGGUAGUCCAUUCCCUAAAACCCUUCCCUCCUUUCAAGCCAUCAUUGAUUGUUGAGUGAGGUCUUUUUGGAAAGCUUUACAUGUGCAUAAUGUUGAGAGUAUUGGGAUCGACAAUG